rnacentral:rRNA from 1 species
UACGUAGGGGGCAAGCGUUGUCCGGAAUUACUGGGCGUAAAGGGCGCGUAGGCGGCCGACUAAGUCAGACGUGAAAUCCCAUGGCUCAACCAUGGAACUGCGUCUGAUACUGGAUGGCUUGAGUUCGGGAGAGGGAAGUGGAAUUCCAGGUGUAGCGGUGAAAUGCGUAGAUAUCUGGAGGAACACCGGUGGCGAAGGCGGCUUCCUGGACCGACACUGACGCUGAGGCGCGAAAGCCAGGGGAGCAAACGGG